UUUCGCUUCAAGGCUGGUUGAAUUGUGCAGGAAAUUUGGUUCCAUCAGGAUCCGUGGAUUUAUUGCCUGGCGAGAUGGGUUGGCCUGGGAAAACCUUCUUGGAAAAGGCCUUGUAUUUGCUAAGGGGCCAUGAAAAUAUGAACCCAAAGCUUCACAGACUCAGAGAUCCGAGGGAGAGGAGGCGAGCCGCCAUUUUCCGACCGUCGCUCUCCCUGAAACAACGGAAAGAAAGAGAACCCCCCGAUUCGCGCCGGGGAGAGAGGGCACCCGCGCCGGAGCGAGCUCGGCACGCGGAUCACGGAGGCAAGGGGGAGACGGAGCCCCGCACAGCCCGCAGAGAAAGCCGGGGGUCGGAGGGGGACCCUGUUUUAAACCUUGCUCCGUAAUUUUUUUUUUCUCCUCUCUCUCUCUCUCCUCUGCGAGUCGGGCUUCUUGACUCGUCGUCGUUUCGCCCAUUUCGCGAUUCCGAGAGCAACACGGGCUCACCGACGCCGGAGCCCCGCCGGGAGCUGGUCGCCAAGGGGCCGGUGGGGACGGCGUGAG